GAGUUUCUGCUUUACUGGCGGACAAUCUGGCUGUAGUGGUAGCUUGUGGACAACAAUAUCAGUAUCUAAACCUGGCAUAUCCUGAUACGACCAAGCAAAUACAUCUACAUAUUCUUGCAGCAACUCGAUCAAUCUUUCUUUGAUGCUUGCCCCAAGUGUAGUCCCAACUUUGAUCUCUUUCUUGUCUUCCUCAGUGCCAAGGUUGAUUGUUUCCACUGGUUCUUGGUGCGACUGAAGGGCCUUUGACUCGUGCUC
rnacentral:lncRNA from 1 species